UAAGCAUAUCAAUAAGCGGAGGAAAAGAAACCAACCGGGAUUGCCCCAGUAACGGCGAGUGAAGCGGCAACAGCUCAAAUUUGAAAUCUGGGGUCCUUUGGGCCUCCGAGUUGUAGUUUGCAGAGGGAGCCUCGGAGGGCGUGCCGGCCCAAGUGCCUUGGAACAGGAUACCGCAGAGGGUGAGAGUCCCGUAUCCGGCCGGUGGCGCGCUCCGUGUGAGGCCUCUUCGACGAGUCGAGUUGUUUGGGAAUGCAGCUCCAAGCGGGUGGUAAAUUCCAUCUAAAGCUAAAUACUGGCCAGAGACCGAUAGCGAACAAGUAGAGUGAUCGAAAGAUGAAAAGCACUUUGAAAAGAGAGUCAAACAGUACGUGAAAUUGUUGAAAGGGAAGCGCAUGGGGGCAGACUUGGCCGCGGGGUUCAGGGUGCGUUCUCGCGCCUGCACUUCCCCGCGGACAGGCCAGCAUCGGUUCUGGGGGCCGGACAAAGGGGCCGGGAAGGUAGCCGCCUUCGGGCGGUGUUAUAGCCCGGCGCGCAAUGCGGCCACCUGGGACCGAGGACCGCGCUUCGGCAAGGAUGCUGGCGUAAUGGCCUCAUGCGGCCCGUCUUGAAACACGGACCAAGGAGUCUAACAUCUAUGCGAGUGUUUGGGUGGCAAGCCCGGGCGCGCAAUGAAAGUGAACGGAGGUGGGAGCUGUCGUAGGCGCACCAUCGACCGAUCCGGACGUUUUCCGAAGGAUUUGAGUAGGAGCAUAGCUGUUGGGACCCGAAAGAUGGUGAACUAUGCGUGAAUAGGGUGAAGCCAGAGGAAACUCUGGUGGAGGCUCGCAGCGGUUCUGACGUGCAAAUCGAUCGUCAAAUUUGCGUAUAGGGGCGAAAGACUAAUCGAACCAUCUAGUAGCUGGUUCCUGCCGA
rnacentral:rRNA from 1 species